UAUCAGAGAACCAUUCCUUUUUUCUAUUAGGAAAAUUAUCAAAGAGCCCAUACAUCUGUGUCAAAACCUUAUGGGCUCUUAUAUUUUCCGAAUUCUAUUUCCAAACCUCCCUUGGGAACCAAGCAUUCAUCCAAAGAUCUCUCCAUUGCUUUCCUAUUCUUGCUCCAGCAUCCAACAACUGUCAACAUGGUAACUCGAAUCAAUCAUUAUUUAAGGAGUGAAGUGCAAGCAAUACAUUGUAUUGAUACUAGGAUUUAUCCCAACGAGAUUGAACGGCCAGUUGAUGGAACAAGGCCCCAUAACUUCAUACAAUUUAAGUAAGGGCCUGAAAGAUAUGCCAAGUAGUUUGCAGGUGAUGUCUCACAAUUUUUCUCUGUUCCAUCAUUUUUGCCUCAGCAGCAUCAUGAAUCAUCUUAUAAUGGAAAACCUGAGUUUCUUAUACUCUUUUGCUUGUAUCAAAGCUUACAGAUCAGUGAUUGCUUCUGAUAAUAGGGUUCUAUGCAUUUUUCGGAGAUCAACAGGCUUCAAACAAAUGUUUUUCAUAGAUAUAUUGUGGAUUGGUUUUAAAGAAAUAGUUUUCAGUACAAGUUACUUAUGAAAUUACAUUGGCAUAGAAGUGCUAUGAUUUAAUUUAGCAGUAUUACUUUUUUUUGACUAUUUAAGAAAUAGCUUUCUGCAUAUAGAGCAAAUAAAAUAAGUUAUAGAUGUUACUCAGCUCAAGGCAUGCUGGGGAAGAUGCAUCUUUUAGAGUAGAAUUUACCUUAUCCAAAGGAAAAUAGCUGAUCAUGGUCUACUCUCAAGAUAAAUGAAUUGUUAUGUGCUCUCCUCCAAAUGCACUCUAACAAGAGAGAAUCAAGGUCACACUUGAACUUGCCAAAUCUAAAUAUAGUGAAAAUUGUUAGUAAAAUACAUUGAUAAAAAUCUCUUUUGAUUCUCUUUUAUGUAGAUUCAAUCUUCUCAAGUGCUCGUAGAAAAUAUUUUAAUUCACUCAAUUUGUACUCAAUUUACUCUCUCAGUUAUCUUCUGUAUAUUCACUUGUGCUGUUCAGAUGGAUGGAAACAACAAUUUUCUUUUCUAUUUAUAAAUAUGAUAGGAUGAGUGUGAAUGGGAAUCUAGGCAUCCUUUCAUUGGAUGCAUCACUUCACCAUAUGAUCCAUUCGAUCAAGCAUUUUAUCCCAUAGAAUCAUCAUUAGAUCCGAUAUUUCAAGUUACAUCUUUUCUUAAGAAUGCUAUAAGAAACUAGCUUCUUAUGGUAAUCUUUUGAGGCAUCUAUUCGCAUGUCAUGUGAGAAGAGCGAUUAUUUGAGAAGGCUUCUCUUCUCACUUCUUUAGAAAUAAGCAGAAAGAUAAAAAUUAAAUUUUAUCUACUCAAUAAACCAAGUUAUUUGUGAGAUUACACUACCAAUAAAUAGGUAUUUAUUUAAUUUUAUAUCAAAUAUAGAAAUUGAAUGAAUAAACCAAGUUAUUUAGUUUUAUACUCAAUAAACCAAGUUAUUUGUGAGAUCAUUUAAGUGAUAAAUCAACAGAAAGUGGAUGAAUUCUCAACCUUUCGUUAGUUCCAUUGAUUGCAAUUUAGCUUUCUCCCAAUACAUUUUCCAUGGUUAAGUAGCCUAGAGAAUUUCUUGUGCAAAACUUCCAAGCACUAGUUUGGAUCAUUGUUCCCGGCUAUGGUAGAGAUUUGCUCCCCAAAAAAAUUGCAUUCUUGAACUCUACUCCAAAAAACAAAAAAUUCUUAAAAUAUUUUAGUGAAAAAGAGAAGAAAUUGCGUGCUUGAAUUAUUUCCAACUAAGACCGGAAUGAGUAGAAUUUGGAGAUCUUUUUCCACAAGUUCUCAUGUUUAUGAGGUUGCUAUGAAUGUACUCUGUAUAUAGACAUGCAUGCCUUAGCUUACACGCUGCACUGCAAUCGGAAUUGGGACUGCUAAAAUUCCACUAAAAGUGAGAAUGGUCACUGGGUUCUGUUAAGAAAUCACAUUGCAACAAAAGCCAAUUUGGUUAUGAGAAACUUGCCAGUAGACCCCUUAUGCAAACUAGAUGGAAUCCAAAAUGAAAAAACUAACAAUAUUUUCUUCAAAUGUAAAUUCUCUAUCUAUCUUUGGAAGGAGCUUCAGACCUUGGAAUAUCAAUAUGUGGGAAUUAAACAUCAACAGCUGCUGGUCUGAGUUGUGAAAGACAUCAAAAUUAGUAAUAAAUUGUAGACAUUUUGCGACGUGGCGGUCGCAGAGUUGUGUUCAAGCAUCUGGCUUGAGUGGAACACUGGGGAGUUCAAUUCAAAGAGCAAAGGCCAAGAAGGUAAGAAGAGGAAUGUGCUUCUUCAUCUCCUCUUAGAUCUCAAUUAAAAACUAGACUUGCAAAGAGUUGUCAAGGUGUUCAAAGACACCUCUCUGUGGCUUAUGUAAGCCCUGAUACACUUGCCUUUUCCUCCCUGUACCUAAUGACCCCUUUCUUUUCAUUGUUUCAAAACCUCUAUCUUCUCCUGUUACUCGGCUAUACUCUCGUGUACUAUUGGUUCACGUUCCUAAUAAAUUUCUGAUGGGUCUACCAUCUUUUCAUUAAAAAAAAAAGCAUGCAGCCAUGUUUGUCUUUUAGAUAAAAAGGACAAUUAUUUUCUAAUCAAUUGCUUCUAAAUUGUUCCACUGAAUGCACUGGUAUCACUGGAUAAUUGCAAGAGCUCAUAGGAGAAGGGAGCUAAGGAUUAAACUCCAGAGCUUCACUAGAUCAUGUCUUUUGUAUUAUGCAAAAGGUUUCUCCAAGGCGAGCCGACUGGAAUUAGAUUAGUUGUUGAGCAAACUCUGAGGGUAAGUGAAUGCCUUUUAGAAAAAAAGGAAGAAACUUACUGUGAAGGCAAAGUGGACAUAAAUCACUUAGAGAAUGAUAAUGUGAUACACACAGAAAAAAAGAUGUGAUCGAACCAUCCUUGUUUAAAUCAUCUUCAACAUGUGAUCAAGAUAUGUCAUAUGAUUGGAUGCAUACAUGCAUUAAUGAUGAACCUGCACAAAAGUCUGUUGAUAGGCAAGAUGUAGUUGAAUGUUUAGUUGUAUUAAACAAGGGAUUUCAGGUUACAUCUCCAACCAUUCUGUUGGUAAUGUUGGAUUUGAGAGUAUAUACUUUGCCGCUAUUUAAGGCACUUGAUCCAUAUAAAGAACAAAAACUAAUGCAUCUUUAUGCUAAUUCAUAAGCAGGGAACAAGACAAUUUAGUCUCAUACAACAGCAAUUUCGGCACAAACAGUUUCUUUGAAACACUGAGAAGAACUAACCACACUACCGAAUGACAGAAACAAUCCCUGACUAUCUUAAAUUCACUAGUUAGCUUCACAAAGCUCAGCUUACAUAUUAGUAUGUUUCCCUCCAACAUAAUCUUUUACAACCAAGUUGCCACCCUUUCCAUGCAAGGCAUGAAAGCCUAAUAUUGAAGUCCAUGAUGAUCCCACUAAGAAAGAAAUUAGACACAUGUUUUCAUUUCUUGGCACAGUUAUUUGCCUGACUUGCUUAGAAACUUGAGCAAUGGAAAGAAAUGCAGCUUAAUUUGGGCCAUCAUAAACCCUAAAACACAAACUUCUCGCAUGGUAUUGUGAUACCCCAGUCCACCAACCCAACCACCAGGCCAAAAAAAAAAAACCUUAGAAAGAAAGAAAGAGGUCUAAAAUGAUUGGCAUGAAUCUUAAAGCAUCAAAAAGAAGAA
rnacentral:lncRNA from 1 species